ensembl:lncRNA
AUUGACCAAACAGACACGAUUCAGCAAUGAUAUAAAGAAGAUUCAACAAAAGAAUUAACCAACUUGAGCGAAUGGACACUCAAUAAUCAGAGAACACAUAUUUUCCUUGAGCACAUAUGGAGGAGUUACAAAUGAUCACACACUAGGCCAUGAAGAAAACUCCAACAAACUGCAUAGACUCAAGAAAGUUGGAAAUUAAAAGCAAAAAAUAAAUUUAAAAUCCCUGUUUAGUAACUUCUGGGUUUAAGAUGAAACUUAUGAUGGAAAAUGUAAAUGUCUAAAACCAAAAGAUAAUGAAAAAGCAAAUCAAGACUUGUGGGAUAUAGCAAAAUAGGUGCUUUGAAAGGAAUUUUGAAAGAAAUUUUAAAUGCUUAUAUUAGAAAAGAAGAAAAUCUUAAAAUUAAUAUGUGUCCCUCUUAAGAAAUUAGAAAAAUAAUAACUCAAAGAAAAUAGAAAGAUAGUAAAAGAAAGUACACAAACCAGUGAAACAGAAAGUAAAGAUACAAUAAGAAAAUCGACAGUUAAAACUUCAUUCUUUGAAAAAAUUAAAAUAGAUAAAACUCUAGCAAAAUUGAUCAAAAAAAGAAAACACAAACAGUAUCACGAAUAAGAAUACACAAAGGGGACUAUAUGCGUUACUCAUUCCUGUGUAGCAGAUUACCCCAAAAUUUGCAGCAUAAAACAACCACCAUUUUAUUUGCUCUUGAUUCAAUGGGUCAGGAAUUUGGGCAGAUCUCAGUGGAACAAGUCAUCUGUGUUUCAUGUCUGUGUUCUCAGCUGGGUUGGCUCAAAGGGCCAGGCACUGGCUGGGAUGGGUAUUGAUCCCCUUUCUAAUUCUCUCUUCUCAUUCUCCCACUAGAGUGAGAGAAUCCACAGCCGUUUCGCUCAUCUUUGUGGACCCUGUUGCUGACUAUCAAGUGGGGCCAUUCUCUCCCUUUGGUUAGUCUUUCCUUCCCCAGCAGAUUCUCCAUUUCGUCUCUCUUGGACUUCUUUGCCUGGUAGCUGGGUUCCUUCUUGGCAUAUGUGGAAGGCCUCAUAAGACCUCGAUUUGGAAGUUCCAUAUUGGCAGAGGAGAAAAACAAGAGCUGGAGGUAGUCCUCAAAAUUUCUGGCACACUGACGAGACUGUAAUCGUUUUCUACAGAUAUAGUUCUGUGAUUUUGAAAAGUGUCUGUGUUGGAAUUUCAGUGGGAGAUGAGAGAGUGGGGAUUAAUCAUGUGUCACAGCGUACAUCUUGACCUGGAAUCUUUCCUGCAAGAGAUUCUCAAUUGUAAGCUCCACAUUUAUAGAAAUAAAACAUUGUUCAGUGCCCAUCCACUUUCUUCUUCCCUCUCUUCCUCUUCAACAUGUAUUGCAUGUGCACA